UGAUGGCCAUUCUGACUGCUGUGACAAGAUAGCUAAUUGUGGUUCUGAUUUUCAUUUCUCAUGAUGAGCGAGUUGAGCAUCUUUUCAUGUCUUUGUUGACAGGUUCCGUUUUUACUCUGGAUGUAAUCGACACUUAAACAUCACUGUAUAGUUCUCAACAGGUUUUUUUUUUUUUUUUUGGUAAUCUAAAUGAAGGCAGCAAAAAGGAGUCAUUAUUGCAGAAUAGGAUCAUCAUCCUCUUCAAUUCAGGAAACUAAGCCACACAGACUGUGUCUCCACCUGGUGCCAACAACCAUGGAGGGAACCGCCAGUUCCUGUGAUGGCCAGUGGAGGGAGCGACCCCACUGCUGCUUCUACCUGCUACAGAUUCAACUGUGACGAUUGACUUCUUCACUACAACUCCUCUGAGCAGAACACACCUAAUAUGAAAUGAAGUGUGUGCUUAUGGUAUAAGGAAUCGGGAGGCACGCCAAAGCACAGGAAGUGUUUUUAGUGGCUGUAAGACAGCGCUGGAGACGACCCAGCUGCCAUGGUCGUCUGGAGACAACUGGGAAUGAAAGUCUGUCUGGCUCCACCUGUGUCCAGAGCACGUGGCAGUCAUCUGCUUGCAGGGGACAGUCCCCAUCAUCCCUAACCAAUCCAGCCGCAGUAGGAGGAGACAUAGUGUCUGGUCCCUGCUUAGAACUACUUCCUCAUGAAUGAAGGACCGGGACUCAAGGUAAAUUCUCAGUCAAUAAAGCGUAGAUCUUCGUGGACCAGUUACUUUUGUGUUAAUAACGACACAGGAGAAUGGAGUAAGCAGGACAUCUGUGGAAUCAGAUUCUCUUCCCUUUGGGGGCGGGGAUUGGAGUGCAUGUUUCAUAUGACCCCUAAUUCUGGAAACUCCUGAUCGAAGAGGCUGCAAGGUUCAUUACACACGUGUGGGUCACUCUGUUGCCCCAUCAGCCACAGUUGUAGCCUCACAGUGAACUGGGGUCAAGAUCCUGAGAGCACCAUUCAGGUCACUGAACGUUUCCCAAGGACCAAGUGGCAAUGUAGGCCCCGCAACUAUGUGUCCAGACGAUGGACAGUUGAAUGAACUCAGGCUGCUAGUGGAGUCUCUGACCCUGUGCCUGGAGCACAGGCGUCUAUGGAGUCAGGGACACCAGUACAGGUAGGAAAGGCAUGUUGAGUCCAGGGGAGGCCGUCAGCCUCACUCGGAGCUGCCCCUCGUGCAUCCUCCUCACUCCUUGCUUGCCCCACCUCAGCUGUCUCUGCUCUUUCCCCCUGUCCUGCCUCUGCCUCCCUCACAGGCCUGGCACAGGCAUGUCCAUCAGCACCUAUGACCCGUGCUUGUCCCUGCUGGUUCGCCGACAGAGCAGACGCUUACCCAGUGCCGCGGUAUCUAGUCCCCACUUUCUGUUCAACUCUCACUCCCUGCUCCCGGCUGCCCUGGCCUCCUGGCAGUAUCUGCCCCCAGCAUUUAUCCCCACUGUUCCCUCUUCUGCAAUAUCCUGACUCCAGAUGUCUGCUGUGCUGACUCCUUUCCCACUUCAAGUCUUUGUUAAAAUAUCAGCUCCUCAAUGAAGCCCGCCCUGGUUGCUCUGUUCAAUACUGUGACUUGCAGCUUUCCCCCUUGCUGCCCACAGUACCAGUCCCUUACAGGACUUACAUGUAUCUGAUCACAGCACCACCCCCUUCUAACACACUGUAGAAUGUCCUGGGUUGUUAUGAGGAGGGUUUACUGGGUGCCUCCUACCCCUACCCCUUCCCCUUUGAGGAGAGUAAGUCCAGCACAGGGAUUUCUGUGGGCUGGCCACUUGUAUCCACCACAGAGAGCCAGGAAAAGCCUCGAUGAAUAUGUGCUGCCUGAAGCAAUGUGCCUGCCUCCCUGCUAGACUGUGAGACCCCUGAGGGUCCUGUUCUUCUCGUCCUUGGGGCAGGCCCUCCCUCCACGCAGGGAGAGGGCCUCAAGUUGCAGCUGCCUCAGUUUCAGCCACACCUCCAGCCCAGCAGCUCCGUGACCUGGGACUCAGGAGUCACCUGGCUUCAUUCCAAAGUGCAAAGGCCUGUCUUUAAAGGAAGGUAGGUAUUUUCAAUGUUUAGACUUUACUUUGGGCCUCAAGUUUUUUGGCACCCACAUUGAGUACGAAUUGUUGUAGUUUCUGAAACACAAGUUCACAAUUUUUGAUGAAUUUGGUUGUGCCAAUGGAAACAACGUGAAACAUACUGGAGUGUGAAGUCAAGUGGGCCUUAGGAAACAUUACUGUGAACAAAGCUGGUGGAGUUGACGGAAUCCUGGCUAUUUCAAAUGCUAAAAGAUGAU